GCAAACUACGGGUAUAUGCAGGGAAUGCAUACACCAGACUACCUGUAAUUCAAUGAAAUGCAGUAGCAAUACCUUUCUGUAGCUUAUAAUGUAUUCUUACGUGAGAGUUUUCCGUUCUGUCUAUCUAUACGUGGGGG